UCUACGGGUGGCAGCAGUGGGGAAUAUUGGACAAUGGGCGAAAGCCUGAUCCAGCCAUGCCGCGUGUGUGAAGAAGGCCUUCGGGUUGUAAAGCACUUUCAGUGGGGAAGAAAGCCUUGGGGCCAAUACCCUCGAGGAAGGACAUCACCCACAGAAGAAGCACCGGCUAACUCCGUGCCAGCAGCCGCGGUAAUACGGAGGGUGCGAGCGUUAAUCGGAAUUACUGGGCGUAAAGCGCGCGUAGGCGGUCUGAUAAGCCGGUUGUGAAAGCCCCGGGCUCAACCUGGGAACGGCAUCCGGAACUGUCAGGCUAGAGUGCAGGAGAGGAAGGUAGAAUUCCCGGUGUAGCGGUGAAAUGCGUAGAGAUCGGGAGGAAUACCAGUGGCGAAGGCGGCCUUCUGGACUGACACUGACGCUGAGGUGCGAAAGCGUGGGUAGCAAACAGGAUUAGAUACCCCUGUAGUC
rnacentral:rRNA from 1 species